CGGGACACGUGGUAUCCUGUCUGAAUAUGGGGGGACCAUCCUCCAAGGCUAAAUACUCCUGACUGACCGAUAGUGAACCAGUACCGUGAGGGAAAGGCGAAAAGAACCCCGGCGAGGGGAGUGAAAAAGAACCUGAAACCGUGUACGUACAAGCAGUGGGAGCACAGAGCAAUCUGUGUGACUGCGUACCUUUUGUAUAAUGGGUCAGCGACUUAUAUUCUGUAGCAAGGUUAACCGAAUAGGGGAGCCGAAGGGAAACCGAGUCUUAACUGGGCGUUAAGUUGCAGGGUAUAGACCCGAAACCCGGUGAUCUAGCCAUGGGCAGGUUGAAGGUUGGGUAACACUAACUGGAGGACCGAACCGACUAAUGUUGAAAAAUUAGCGGAUGACUUGUGGCUGGGGGUGAAAGGCCAAUCAAACCGGGAGAUAGCUGGUUCUCCCCGAAAGCUAUUUAGGUAGCGCCUCGUGAAUUCAUCUCCGGGGGUAGAGCACUGUUUCGGCAAGGGGGUCAUCCCGA
rnacentral:rRNA from 1 species